rnacentral:lncRNA from 10 species
CUGGUGACUCUCUGCAGAAGAGGAGGGUGAGUUCUUCACUGCAGUUUAAGAUGCACCCAUCAGGGCCAUGACCCGUUCAUUAUCGCACAUGGCCCUUGGCCCAGGACCAAGGCAGAAAGAGGCACAGAUUGCUCCCCUCUUCUCUGGGCCUCUUGACAACCCUGAGCUCUACACUGCUGGAUAUAUACAUAAAUAUAUAUAGUCCCAUGUUCUUAAGUCUCACUUUGAAAACUACAACCCUCAAGUGACAACUGGGCAGAGCUCUGGAGAAGAUGGGCAGUGACUGGGAGCCCUACUCAGGGACACAGAACCAUGAGUGGUGGGUCGCCUCUGUAGGUUAAUAUUGAGUGUCAACUUGAUUGGAUUGAAGGAUGUCAGACUCCAGGUUCUUCAGCUUUGGGAUUCAGACUGGCUUCCUUGCUCCUCAGCUUGCAG